rnacentral:piRNA from 1 species
UAAAAAGGAAACGUAGUUGUUGGAUGG